rnacentral:lncRNA from 1 species
AAGAAUAAAAGCGUUGUGGAUGAACUUUGUACUUUUCAUCAUUGAGGGGCCGUUUGGUUGGAUGUAGUUGUAAAAACAGUGCAGUUGAAAAUACAUGCAGUUGUAAAUGCUGCAGUCAUAACAAUACCUAGUCUGUUUGGUUUUAUACAGUUGCAACUGCUGCAAUUACAUUUCUUCUGUUUGGCAGUCUGCAGUUGAGAUUUGUAUUUAUAAAUUCUGUAAAUUUUCAGAUAGAAAGAUAAGAUUACUUACCUCUUCUGAUCAUAACGUAAUUAUGUUCUGAUCAUAACGUAAAUAAGUACCAAUA